GAAAUAGACAUACAAGUCCAGAAGUGCAGAGAGUCCCAAACAAGAUGAGCCCGAAGAGUCCCUCACCAAGACCCAUCAUAAUUAAAAUGCCAAGUGCU